rnacentral:rRNA from 1 species
AUGAACGCUGGCGGCGUGCCUAAUACAUGCAAGUCGAGCGAACAGACGAGGGGCUUGCUCCUCUGAUGUUAGCGGCGGACGGGUGAGUAACACGUGGAUAACCUACCUAUAAGACUGGGAUAACUUCGGGAAACCGGAGCUAAUACCGGAUAACAUGUUGAACCGCAUGGUUCAACAGUGAAAGACGGUCUUGCUGUCACUUAUAGAUGGAUCCGCGCCGCAUUAGCUAGUUGGUAAGGUAACGGCUUACCAAGGCAACGAUGCGUAGCCGACCUGAGAGGGUGAUCGGCCACACUGGAACUGAGACACGGUCCAGACUCCUACGGGAGGCAGCAGUAGGGAAUCUUCCGCAAUGGGCGAAAGCCUGACGGAGCAACGCCGCGUGAGUGAAGAAGGUCUUCGGAUCGUAAAACUCUGUUAUUAGGGAAGAACAAAUGUGUAAGUAACUAUGCACGUCUUGACGGUACCUAAUCAGAAAGCCACGGCUAACUACGUG